UACGGAGGGUGCAAGCGUUGUCCGGAUUUAUUGGGUUUAAAGGGUGCGUAGGUGGCUAUUUAAGUCAGUGGUGAAAGCCUGCAGCUUAACUGUAGGACUGCCAUUGAUACUGAAUAGCUUGAGUACUGAUGAGGUAGGCGGAAUUGAUAGUGUAGCGGUGAAAUGCAUAGAUAUUAUCAAGAACACCGAUUGCGAAGGCAGCUUACUAAGGAGAUACUGACACUGAGGCACGAAAGCGUGGGGAUCAAACAGG
rnacentral:rRNA from 1 species